rnacentral:rRNA from 1 species
CACUGACAUUAGAUACCCGGGUAGUCCCAGCCGUAAACUAUGCGCGUUAGGUGUAUCGGUGACCACGAGUUACCGAGGUGCCGAAGGGAAACCGUGAAACGUGCCGCCUGGGAAGUACGGUCGCAAGGCUGAAACUUAAAGGAAUUGCGGGGGAGCACCACAACAGGUGGAGCCUGCGGUUUAAUUGGACUCAACGCCGGGAAGCUCACCGGAUAGGACAGCAGAAUGAUUGCCGGGCUGAAGACCCUGCAUGACUAGCUG